rnacentral:lncRNA from 1 species
AAUAGUCUCCAUAAUCUAAUCUCCAGAAUGCACUAAACCAGGAGAAGAUCCACCUGGUCUGCUGGAGUUUGCUGGAGGUCCACUCCAGACCCUGUUUGCCUGGGUAUCACCGGCAGAGGCUGCAGAGCAGCAAAGAUUGCUGCCUGCUCCUUCCUCUGGAAGCUUCAUCCCAAAGGGGCACCCGCCUGAUGCCAGCCAGAGCUCUCCUGUACGAGAGAUGCCCUGCCCAGUGAGGAGGAAUCUAGAGAAGCAGUCUGGCCAUAGCUUUGCUGCACUGCGCACUUCUCCUUGCUGCCGCCAUGUGAAGAAGAAUGUGUUUGCUUCCCCUUCCGCCAUGAUUGUCAUGACAUUUUGAGCACAAUUGUGUGUGGGAUGCAUUCAUCAAUAGAGCUGGAAGCACCAACCACCAUAGGAGAGGAAACUUUUAGUUACAAGCACAUGAAUAAAUAAAAUCAAACUCAACUGGAAUGACGUUCCUGAGGAUGGAGAUACAUUUUUUUGUUGACCCAUCUAAACUUGAACAGCAAGUGAUAAUCAGUCUCCAAUCAGAAAGUCCCAGAAUGCUGAGUGCUCUGUAUUUGUAAUCCCAUUGCUCCUAUUGAGAAGUUAGCUGUUGGCCAAACUAUUCCUACUUUCAAGGACUUAUAGGAGCAGAAAUCAGAAGACUUUACUCCACACACUUCAGGUGGACAUGUGGACAAAGCCAUCGGAGAACAUGACAAAAAUACAGCAAGAGCAGAGACAAGAUCAGAUCAUCCUGGGGGCAGAUGCUGGGCUCUGACCAAUUUGAGAGAGAAAAGGAAAAAGAACCCAGCUACAAGAUGCACAAGUAGCAGGCCACAGCCACCAACAUCAGCAGAGCAAUUGGAGGCCAGGAAGACAAGGACACUUCUGAAGAGACUGAAAAAAGCAGAAGACAGUCCAAGUCACUGCAAGGUUCCAAGGUCUCUUUUUUCAUUACUGUUACAAGUACCAAGUAAGCCAAAAUCCACCCUACUCUUCAAAACCAUCUUGAAGAGUUGCAGGUCAGGGUUGCUGCAUCUGAGCAUGUUUACUCACAAAAGGUGACAGAUGCUCCUCAACUUACAAUGAGAUUACAUCCUGAUAAAUGUGUCAUAAGUUGAAAGUAUCUUAUAAGUCGAAAAUGCAUUUACUACAGCCUAACCCACUGAACAUUGUAGCUUAGGCUAGCCUACCUUAAAACGUGAUCAGGACACUUCCCUCAGCCUACAUUUGGGCAAAAUCACCUAACACGAAGCCUAUUUUAUAAUAGAGCAUUGAAUAGCUCAAAUAAUUUAUUGAAUACUGUACAUUACAUAGAAUUUGUGACAGUUUUACACCAUCAUUAUGUCAAAAAAUCAUUAAGUUGAGCCACCAUAACUCAGGGACUGUCUGUAUUUAUAUUUUUACUUCACACUAAGCUUUGAAACUGAAAUUUUUGCUCCUCAGCAGAUGGGGUUUCUGAGAAAGACCAAAUUAGUUAUAGAGCACUAGCUCCC